CAAGAUCGUACCAUGGUAUCCGUGCUUGCACUGGGGAUUAGUGGCGAACGGGUGAGUAACACGUGAGUAACCUGCCCUUGACUCUGGGAUAAGCCUGGGAAACUGGGUCUAAUACCGGAUAUGACCUUCCAUCGCAUGGUGGUUGGUGGAAAGCUUUUGUGGUUUUGGAUGGACUCGCGGCCUAUCAGCUUGUUGGUGGGGUAAUGGCCUACCAAGGCGACGACGGGUAGCCGGCCUGAGAGGGUGACCGGCCACACUGGGACUGAGACACGGCCCAGACUCCUACGGGAGGCAGCAGUGGGGAAUAUUGCACAAUGGGCGGAAGCCUGAUGCAGCGACGCCGCGUGAGGGAUGACGGCCUUCGGGUUGUAAACCUCUUUCAGUAGGGAAGAAGCGAAAGUGACGGUACCUGCAGAAGAAGCGCCGGCUAACUACGUGCCAGCAGCCGCGGUAAUACGUAGGGCGCAAGCGUUAUCCGGAAUUAUUGGGCGUAAAGAGCUCGUAGGCGGUUUGUCGCGUCUGCCGUGAAAGUCCGGGGCUCAACUCCGGAUCUGCGGUGGGUACGGGCAGACUAGAGUGAUGUAGGGGAGACUGGAAUUCCUGGUGUAGCGGUGAAAUGCGCAGAUAUCAGGAGGAACACCGAUGGCGAAGGCAGGUCUCUGGGCAUUAACUGACGCUGAGGAGCGAAAGCAUGGGGAGCGAACAGGAUUAGAUACCCUGGUAGUCCAUGCCGUAAACGUUGGGCACUAGGUGUGGGGGACAUUCCACGUUUUCCGCGCCGUAGCUAACGCAUUAAGUGCCCCGCCUGGGGAGUACGGCCGCAAGGCUAAAACUCAAAGGAAUUGACGGGGGCCCGCACAAGCGGCGGAGCAUGCGGAUUAAUUCGAUGCAACGCGAAGAACCUUACCAAGGCUUGACAUGAACCGGUAAUACCUGGAAACAGGUGCCCCGCUUGCGGUCGGUUUACAGGUGGUGCAUGGUUGUCGUCAGCUCGUGUCGUGAGAUGUUGGGUUAAGUCCCGCAACGAGCGCAACCCUCGUUCUAUGUUGCCAGCACGUGAUGGUGGGGACUCAUAGGAGACUGCCGGGGUCAACUCGGAGGAAGGUGGGGACGACGUCAAAUCAUCAUGCCCCUUAUGUCUUGGGCUUCACGCAUGCUACAAUGGCCGGUACAAAGGGUUGCGAUACUGUGAGGUGGAGCUAAUCCCAAAAAGCCGGUCUCAGUUCGGAUUGGGGUCUGCAACUCGACCCCAUGAAGUCGGAGUCGCUAGUAAUCGCAGAUCAGCAACGCUGCGGUGAAUACGUUCCCGGGCCUUGUACACACCGCCCGUCAAGUCACGAAAGUUGGUAACACCCGUAGCCGA
rnacentral:rRNA from 1 species